rnacentral:misc_RNA from 1 species
AACCUUAUGGACCUGCGGGCGUAUACCUGCGGAGGGAUCAUUAUUGAGUGUAACCCCCCCGUAAAAAAGGGGGGUACCCUCCCGUCCUUUGCAGGCCUUUUAGGGGCUUUUUAGACUUUCUGCUUCGGUGGGGUAAACCCACCGGAACACCCUCAAAAUUCUUUUAUGAAAUUGUUCAGUCCGAGAAUUUUUUUAAAAGCGAAAAACUUUUAACAACGGAUCUCAGAUCGGAAGAGCACA